CAAGUGGUAGGAAGCCGAAAGGUGACGACCCUUCGGGAGCUUGCACAGGUGCUGCAUGGCUGUCGUCAGCUCGUGUCGUGAGAUGUUCGGUUAAGUCCGCUAACGAGCGCAACCCUCGCUGUGUGUUAUAUGUGUCACACGGGACCGCCGGGUCUUAAGCCGGAGGAAGUGGGGAUGACGUCAAGUCAGCAUGGCCUUUAUAUCCUGGGCUACACACACGCUACAAUGGCCAACACAAUAGGUUGCUAAGCCGCGAGGUGGAGCCAAUCCAUAAAGUUGGUCUCAGUUCAGAUUGUAGGCUGCAACCCGCCUGCAUGAAGAUGGAGUUGCUAGUAACCGCAGGUCAGCUAUACUGCGGUGAAUACGUUCCCGGGGCUU
rnacentral:rRNA from 1 species